rnacentral:rRNA from 1 species
GACGUAGGGGGCUAGCGUUGUCCGGAAUCAUUGGGCGUAAAGCGCGUGUAGGCGGUUCGGUAAGUCCGCUGUGAAAGUCGGGGGCUCAACCCUCGGAUGCCGGUGGAUACUGUCGGGCUUGAGUACGGAAGAGGCGAGUGGAAUUCCUGGUGUAGCGGUGAAAUGCGCAGAUAUCAGGAGGAACACCAAUUGCGAAGGCAGCUCGCUGGGACGUUACUGACGCUGAGACGCGAAAGCGUGGGGAGCAAACAGG